CGUUCAGCUAACUGAUACUAAUUGCCCGUAAGGCUUGAUCCUAUAACAAGUCUGCCUUGUAGAUCGGCGCCGUGCGAAAGCACUGGCCGCGAUCCAGAGCGACAUGUUGGAUUCUCGUGUGUGAUACACACAACCUAAAUUACUGCUUCUUCCCAGAUUGGUUCUGUUGGCCACGCCAGCAGAACAACCCUCUUUGCCUGAUGACCAUAGCGAGUCGGUCCCACCCCUUCCCAUCCCGAACAGGACCGUGAAACGACUCUACGCCGAUGAUAGUGCGGAUUCCCGUGUGAAAGUAGGUAAUCGUCAGGC
rnacentral:rRNA from 1 species